ACUGAGCUUCAGUUCAGCUUUUGAGCAGGACUAAAAGUAGACGUUUGAGAGGCUAUGGGGGAAGAUGUGGUAAAAUUGGGGUGAAACUAAGACGUUUCUGAAGCACAGUGAUAGCACACCGUGUCACGGAGUUCCCCGUGCCCUGGGACUUGUGGGCACAGAGCGAGAGGUUCCUCAGACCCCCUCAUUUCUUGUAAGUCUGGUGAUUUGAUGGUAAUACCCUCGGUGAGGCCCGUGUGAACACUGCAGCUUCUUUAAUUGUGGGGGACGAAGAAGGAAACCCAAAACCCAGUGGUCUUGAGUGCUCUCUCUGGUGGGCCUGCACAUUGCUGCUGCACACCGAGCCGAUGCUGAGGCUGCUUCCAGCAGGAGAAAGGAGGACGGGACGCAGCCUCCUGCCGAGUGCCAGCGGUGCGUGAGGAGCUGGAGGCUAGCGCACAGCCUGCAGGACG